rnacentral:rRNA from 1 species
GAUGAACGCUGGCGGCGUGCUUAACACAUGCAAGUCGAACGGAAAGGCUCCUGCUUGCAGGGGUACUCGAGUGGCGAACGGGUGAGUAACACGUGGGUGAUCUGCCCCGCACUUCGGGAUAAGCCUGGGAAACUGGGUCUAAUACCUGAUAGGACAGUGGUUUGGAUGCCAUUGUGGAAAGUUUUUUCGGUGUGGGAUGAGCUCGCGGCCUAUCAGCUUGUUGGUGGGGUAAUGGCCUACCAAGGCGUCGACGGGUAGCCGGCCUGAGAGGGUGUACGGCCACAUUGGGACUGAGAUACGGCCCAGACUCCUACGGGAGGCAGCAGUGGGGAAUAUUGCACAAUGGGCGCAAGCCUGAUGCAGCGACGCCGCGUGGGGGAUGACGGCCUUCGGGUUGUAAACUCCUUUCGCUAGGGACGAAGCGUUAUGUGACGGUACCUAGAGAAGAAGCACCGGCUAACUACGUG